rnacentral:rRNA from 1 species
UGAGAUUGAUCUGCUCAGAUAACGUGGCGGCAGGCCUAACACAUGCAAGUCGAGCGGCAGCACAAGGGAGUUUACUCCUGAGGUGGCGAGCGGCGGACGGGUGAGUAAUGCCUAGGGAUCUGCCCAGUCGAGGGGGAUAACAGUUGGAAACGACUGCUAAUACCGCAUACGCCCUACGGGGGAAAGAGGGGGACUUUCGGGCCUCUCGCGAUUGGAUGAACCUAGGUGGGAUUAGCUAGUUGGUGAGGUAAUGGCUCACCAAGGCGACGAUCCCUAGCUGUUCUGAGAGGAUGAUCAGCCACACUGGGACUGAGACACGGCCCAGACUCCUACGGGAGGCAGCAGUGGGGAAUAUUGCACAAUGGGGGAAACCCUGAUGCAGCCAUGCCGCGUGUGUGAAGAAGGCCUUCGGGUUGUAAAGCACUUUCAGUAGGGAGGAAAGGGUG